GAAUCUUGCGCAAUGGUCGAAAGACUGACGCAGCCACGCCGCGUGGAGGAUGACACCCCUAUGGGGCGUAAACUCCUUUUCUGUGAGAAGAAAUGCCCUUUUGGGGAGCUGACGGUAUCACAGGAAUAAGCACCGGCUAACUCCGUGCCAGCAGCCGCGGUAAUACGGAGGGUGCAAGCGUUGUCCGGAAUCACUGGGUGUAAAGGGUGUGUAGGCGGGCCGGUAAGUCAGGGGUGAAAGCCCACAGCUCAACUGUGGAAUUGCCUUUGAUACUGCCGGUCUUGAGUUUCGGAGGGGUCACUGGAAUUCGUGGUGUAGCGGUGAAAUGCGUAGAUAUCACGAGGAACACCGGAGGUGUAGACGGGUGACUGGACGAAAACUGACGCUGAGGCACGAAAGCGUGGGGAGCAAACAGG
rnacentral:rRNA from 1 species